CGGGCGCACGGCGGAUGCCUUGGCACAGGGAGCCGAUGAAGGACGCGGCAAGCUGCGAUAAUCCCCGGCGAGGAGCACACAUCCUUCGACCCGGGGGUCUCCGAAUGGGCGAACCCAUCCACAGCAGUGUGGAUAUCCCCACCCCGAACACAUAGGGGCGGGGAGGACAACCCGGGGAACUGAAACAUCUAAGUACCCGGAGGAGAGGAAAUCAAUCUCGAGACUCCCCGAGUAGCGGCGAGCGAAAGGGGACCGAUGGCCAAACCGUCGAGCGGGCAUACCCGGCAGGGGUUCCGCCGACGGGGUUGCAGGGCCGCGCAUCCGGGGGCUGCCGCCCCCGGGCGCAGGUCCGGCUGGGGAGCGGAACGGCAUGGGAGGGCCGGCCGCAGCGGGUGACAGCCCCGUACGCGAACCCAGACCGGACGGCGCGACGCGGUCCCUGAGUAGGGCCGGGCACGUGAAACCCGGUCCGAACCUGGGUGGACCACCAUCCAAGCCUGAGUACUACCCUGUGACCGAUAGCGCACCAGUACCGUGAGGGAAAGGUGAAAAGCACCCCGGGAGGGGAGUGAAACAGUACCUGAAACCGUGCGCCCACGAGCAGUCGGAGCACCUAUACGGUGUGACGGCGUGCCUUUUGUAGAAUGAGCCAGCGAGUCGCUGGCGCGGGGCGAGGUUAACCGAAAGGGAGCCGUAGCGAAAGCGAGCCUUAACAGGGCGACUUGAGUCCCGCGCCGCGGACGCGAAGCCGGGUGAGCUAUCCGUGGGCAGGCUGAAGCGGGGGUAAGACCCCGUGGAGGGCCGAACGCACGUCGGUUGAAAACGGCGGCGAUGACCUGCGGAUAGGGGUGAAAGGCCAAUCAAACCCGGAGAUAUCUCGUUCUCCCCGAAAUAGCUUUAGGGCUAGCGUCGCGCGUUCACCGCCGGAGGUAGAGCACCGGAUGGACGAGGGGGCUUCGCCGCCUACCGAAUCCAACCGAACUCCGAAUGCCGGCGGCCCAGAGCGCGGCAGUCAGAGCAUGUGGGCUAAGCUGUGUGCUCGAGAGGGAAACAGCCCGGACCGCCCGCUAAGGUCCCCAAGUUCCAGCCGAGUGGCAAAGGAUGUGCGUCCGCCCAGACAACCAGGAUGUUGGCUUAGAAGCAGCCAUGCAUUCAAAGAGUGCGUAACAGCUCACUGGUCGAGUGGACAUGCGCCGACAAUACACGGGGCUAAGCUGGACACCGAAGCGGCGGGAUUUUGAUUUUCAGAAUCGGUAGGGGAGCUUCCCAUGGGCGGUGAAGCCGCCGGGCGACCGGCGGUGGAGCGCAUGGGAGUGAGAAUGCUGGCAUGAGUAGCGAGAGACGAGAGAGUAACUCGUCCGCCGUGAACCCGAGGUUUCCUGGGCAAGGCUAAUCCUCCCAGGGUCAGUCGGGGGCUAAGGCGAGGCCGGAAGGCGUAGCCGACGCGCAGCAGGCAGACAUUCCUGCACCGCGCACGCGGCGCUACGACCGACGGGGCGACGGAUGGGGGUGGCUCGGCGGGGUUCUGGACGUCCCCGUGAUGGAGCGCGGCCCGCGGACCAGGGAAAUCCGGUCCGCACGAGGGCGAGGCUCCGGACGAAGCGAUCAAGCGAAGCGAGUGAGCCCGAGGUCCCUAGAAAAACCCCUAGGCAGGCGCGUGCGCGCCCGUACCGCAAACCGACACAGGUGGGUGGGUAGAACAUACCGAGGCGAUCGGGUCAACCAUGGUCAAGGAACUCGGCACAAUGGCCCCGUAACUUCGGGAGAAGGGGUGCCCGCGCGUACGUGAACGGACUUGCUCCGGGAGCGGAGGCGGGCCGCAGUGGAGAGGCCCAAGCGACUGUUUACCAAAAACACAGGACUCUGCAGAAGCCGCAAGGCGACGUAUAGGGUCUGACGCCUGCCCGGUGCCGGAAGGUCACGCGGAGGAGUUAGCCAUUUCGGCGAAGCCCCGAAGCCAAGCCCCGGUAAACGGCGGCCGUAACUAUAACGGUCCUAAGGUAGCGAAAUUCCUUGUCGGGUAAGUUCCGACCUGCACGAAAGGCGCAACGACUUGGGCGCUGUCUCGACCAUGGACCCGGUGAAAUUGCACUGGUCGUGAAGAUGCGACUUACCCGCGGAAGGACGGAAAGACCCCGUGAACCUUCACUGCAGCUUGGCAUUGGCCGCUGGUCCCGCGUGUAGAGGAUAGGCAGGAGGCACAGAUCCGGAGGCGCCAGCCCCCGGGGAGCCGCCCUUGGAAUACUGCCCUCGCGCGACCGGCGUCCUAACCCGAGGCCGUCAACCGGCUCGGGGACCGUGCCAGGCGGGCAGUUUGACUGGGGCGGUCGCCUCCUAAAGGGUAACGGAGGCGCGCGAAGGUCCGCUCGGGACGGUCGGCAACCGUCCUUUUGAAUGCAAGAGUACAAGCGGGCUUGACUGCGAGGCCCACAAGCCGAGCAGGUGCGAAAGCAGGCUCUAGUGAUCCGGCGGCCCCGAGUGGGUGGGCCGUCGCUCAACGGAUAAAAGGUACUCCGGGGAUAACAGGCUGAUCUUGCCCAAGAGUCCACAUCGACGGCAAGGUUUGGCACCUCGAUGUCGGCUCAUCGCAUCCUGGGGCUGGAGCAGGUCCCAAGGGUACGGCUGUUCGCCGUUUAAAGCGGUACGCGAGCUGGGUUCAGAACGUCGUGAGACAGUUCGGUCCCUAUCCUCCGUGGGCGCAGGAGAAUCGAUGGAGGCUGCCCCCAGUACGAGAGGACCGGGGUGGACGCACCUCCGGUGAACCGGUUGUCGACCAACGGCACGGCCGGGUAGCCGCGUGCGGCGCGGAUAACCGCUGAAGGCAUCUAAGCGGGAAGCCGUUCCAGGGAUUAGUUCUCCUUCCGGUAAGGGCCCAGGUAGACUACCUGGUCGAUAGACGGCAGGUGCAAGGACGGCGACGUCCUCAGCCGAGCCGCACUAAUCGCCCGAGCUCUUCCGGA
rnacentral:rRNA from 1 species